rnacentral:rRNA from 1 species
UCCGUAGGUGAACCUGCGGAAGGAUCAUUACCGAGUGAGGGCCCUCUGGGUCCAACCUCCCACCCGUGUUUACUUACCACGUUGCUUCGGCGGGCCCGCCUUAACUGGCCGCCGGGGGGCUCACGCCCCCGGGCCCGCGCCCGCCGAAGACACCCCCGAACUCUGCCUGAAGAUUGUCGUCUGAGUGAAAAUAUAAAUUAUUUAAAACUUUCAACAACGGAUCUCUUGGUUCCGGCAUCGAUGAAGAACGCAGCGAAAUGCGAUACGUAAUGUGAAUUGCAAAUUCAGUGAAUCAUCGAGUCUUUGAACGCACAUUGCGCCCCCUGGUAUUCCGGGGGGCAUGCCUGUCCGAGCGUCAUUGCUGCCCUCAAGCCCGGCUUGUGUGUUGGGCCCCGUCCUCCGAUUCCGGGGGACGGGCCCGAAAGGCAGCGGCGGCACCGCGUCCGGUCCUCGAGCGUAUGGGGCUUUGUCACCCGCUCUGUAGGCCCAGCCGGCGCUUGCCGAUCAACCCAAAUUUUUUAUCCAGGUUGACCUCGGAUCAGGUAGGGAUACCCGCUGAACUUAAGCAUAUCAAUAAGCGGAGGA